rfam:Oryza rufipogon genomic scaffold, chr08
AAUAAGUGCAGCCAUGAGUUUUCGCGCUCAACUUUGAUCGUCCAUCUUAUUUGAAUUUUUUUCAUAAUUAGCAUUUUUGUUGUUAUAAGAUGAUAAAACAUAAAUAGUACUUUACUCGUGACUUAUGUUUUAAUUUUUUUCAAAAAAUUUUCAAAUAAGAUGAAUUGUUAAAGUUGAGCGCGGAAAACCAUGGCUGCACUUAUU